rnacentral:rRNA from 1 species
ACGAACGCUGGCGGCGUGCCUAAUACAUGCAAGUCGAACGAGAGCGACCGGUGCUUGCACUGGUCAAUCUAGUGGCGAACGGGUGAGUAACACUGGGUAACCUGCCCAUCAGAGGGGGAUAACAUUCGGAAACGGAUGCUAAAACCGCAUAGGUCUUCGAACCGCAUGGUUUGAAGAGGAAAAGAGGCGCAAGCUUCUGCUGAUGGAUGGACCCGCGGUGCAUUAGCUAGUUGGUGAGGUAACGGCUCACCAAGGCCGUGAUGCAUAGCCGACCUGAGAGGGUGAUCGGCCACAUUGGGACUGAGACACGGCCCAAACUCCUACGGGAGGCAGCAGUAGGGAAUCUUCCGCAAUGGACGCAAGUCUGACGGAGCAACGCCGCGUGAGUGAAGAAGGUUUUCGGAUCGUAAAACUCUGUUGUUAGAGAAGAACAAGUGCUAGAGUAACUGGUAGCGCCUUGACGGUAUCUAACCAGAAAGCCACGGCUAACUACGUG